rnacentral:rRNA from 1 species
CCUGAUGCAGCAACGCCGCGUGAGGGACGACGGCCUAAGGGUUGUAAACCUCUUUUAGCAGGGAAGAAGCGAAAGUGACGGUACCUGCAGAAAAAGCGCCGGCUAACUACGUGCCAGCAGCCGCGGUAAUACGUAGGGCGCAAGCGUUAUCCGGAAUUAUUGGGCGUAAAGAGCUCGUAGGCGGUUUGUCGCGUCUGCUGUGAAAUCCCGAGGCUCAACCUCGGGUCUGCAGUGGGUACGGGCAGACUAGAGUGCGGUAGGGGAGAUUGGAAUUCCUGGUGUAGCGGUGGAAUGCGCAGAUAUCAGGAGGAACACCGAUGGCGAAGGCAGAUCUCUGGGCCGUAACUGACGCUGAGGAGCGAAAGGGUGGGGAGCAAACAGGCUUAGAUACCCUGGUAGUCCACCCCGUAAACGUUGGGAACUAGUUGUGGGGUCCAUUCCACGGAUUCCGUGACGCAGCUAACGCAUUAAGUUCCCCGCCUGGGGAGUACGGCCGCAAGGCUAAAACUCAAAGGAAUUGACGGGGACCCGCACAAGCGGCGGAGCAUGCGGAUUAAUUCGAUGCAACGCGAAGAACCUUACCAAGGCUUGACAUACACGAGAACGCCGCAGAAAUGUGGAACUCUUUGGA